ACACGUAGGGGGCGAGCGUUGUUCGGAAUCAUUGGGCGUAAAGGGCGUGCAGGCGGUCCUGCAAGUCCGGCGUGAAAGACCCCGGCCCAACCGGGGGGACGCGCUGGAAACUGCGGGGCUUGAGUACAGGAGGGGAUGCCGGAAUUCCAGGUGUAGGGGUGAAAUCUGUAGAUAUCUGGAAGAACACCAAUGGCGAAGGCAGGCAUCUGGCCAUGUACUGACGCUGAGACGCGAAGGUGCGGGGAGCAAACAGGUUUAGAUACCCUGGUAGUCCGCACAGUAAACGAUGUGCACCAGGUGGCGGGGGGUCGACCCUCGGUACCGUAGCUAACGCAUUAAGUGCACCGCCUGGGGAGUAUGCUCGCAAGGGUGAAACUCAAAGGAAUUGACGGGG
rnacentral:rRNA from 1 species